rnacentral:rRNA from 2 species
GAUGAACGCUGGCGGCGUGCCUAACACAUGCAAGUCGAGCGAUCUCUUCGGAGAGAGCGGCGGACGGGUGAGUAACGCGUGGGUAACCUGCCCUGUACACACGGAUAACAUACCGAAAGGUAUACUAAUACGGGAUAACAUACGAAAGUCGCAUGGCUUUUGUAUCAAAGCUCCGGCGGUACAGGAUGGACCCGCGUCUGAUUAGCUAGUUGGUAAGGUAAUGGCUUACCAAGGCAACGAUCAGUAGCCGACCUGAGAGGGUGAUCGGCCACACUGGAACUGAGACACGGUCCAGACUCCUACGGGAGGCAGCAGUGGGGAAUAUUGCACAAUGGGCGAAAGCCUGAUGCAGCAACGCCGCGUGAGCGAUGAAGGCCUUCGGGUCGUAAAGCUCUGUCCUCAAGGAAGAUAAUGACGGUACUUGAGGAGGAAGCCCCGGCUAACUACGUG